GCUAAGCCGCCAAACCGCUCUAUCAUAUGCGCGGGCAUAUAUGCCGAAGCCCCAAAAGCCGUAUUGGCCCUAGACAUUCAAUGCCUUUCUUUGUCCCUAAUUCUAAAAUACGAUUUCGGACCGGGUUGCUUUCUUGUAAGCCGCCUUGUCUUGUAGGGAAAGAAGGCCCCAAACCCUUGUUUUUAGGUAUAGUAAGCGUAGGUCUUGUUAGCUAAUUCAAUUGGCUAAAAACCCUUGCUAAAGCUAGAGGCGUGUUGGUUGCAGUUGUCUAUAGAGGAUGGAAACCUCAUUUCUUUAAAGGCGGGCAAAUCACGAUGAAAUAGAGGUACCUUGUUAUAAAUCUGAUAAGCGAGAGAUGCAGGAAAAACCUAAGCGGGUCUUUCUCAAUGAUCAUAUCAAAGGGGCUCUAGUGCUAUCAGGUGAGGACUGAAAAGUCUCGUUCUCUUUCAUUUGAGUUUGAUGAUUGUGGUUCUUUUUCUUUUAUAGUUAGCAGACUCACUCUAGGCAACGAGAAGAAGAUAAGAACUCCUCACAGGAGUGGGUCAGAUGAGUGUAUGGAAGUUAGCCCUUCCCCUCAAAGAUAAGGAUGUGCUAUUGAGGAGAAACAAGAAAUAGAGUGGGCUGUUCAGGCACCCAAUUUUUGAUGAGAAAGCUAAAAUUCAAAACUUUACUUCAAAACUUUCUUUUUUCACGUUUUGCCUAUAUUUUUUAUUAUUUUUUCUAUUUGGUUUGGGAAAACUUGUUAAAAAGAGGUCAUCUGUGGUUAUUGCUUUGGGAUCCUAUAAUUCAUCGCUACUAACUAGAAGAAGUUCCUGGGCUAAGAAUAGCUCCCCUGUAAAGCCUUUGAUUCGACUUGGGGCAAUGCCACUUCGAAAGAAAGGGAGCCUUUUGGGUUGGGAGAACCUGGAUAUGUCGAUUUAGAAUAAGCCGAUGCAUAUGGGAACGAAACGUGAAUGGAGGGGUGCCUCCUCAAGUUACUGCAGGUACAAUUUUUGCCUAGGAGUGAUUCCUUCUCGGGAGAACCUUCUUUUUAAGUUGAGUGAUUGGGGACUACCUCGGAUUUGCAAAACCUCCUUUAAACAAGUGCUCUUUGCAACAGCAGGAAGAGCAAGUGCUUAACAACUAUAACCUUUCUUUUAGGUUAGGCAGGGAGGGGACUUUGUGAGGACUUUCUUUUGGGUAAAAAAGCAAACCAACGAAUGCAAGCAAGAAAACGGAUGCGCUAGCUAGCUAGCUAACGUGCCCUUGCUUCUUGCAAGAAAACGGAUGCUCUAGCGGCAUGCACCCUUGCUUCUUGCUUUCGAGCUAUAGUUUGCUGGGCGCACUAGCUACGAAGAAAACGUAAUGCGUGCUAGCUGCGAAGAAAACUACGUGUAAAAUGGCAAACCAACGAAUGCACUGAAGCAAGAAAACGGAUGCGCGUUAGUGCCCUUGCUUCUUGCCUUUUGAGCCGAAGACAAGCAAGAAAACGGAUGCGUUAGCUAGCGGCGCGUUAGUGCCCUUGCUUCUUACAAGAAAAGGGAUGCGCACUUCAAAACUUUCUUUUUUCACGUUUUGUCCGUAUUUUUUCUACUAUAAAAUAGAAGAAAAUGCGCUCUUUUCUUCUAUUUUUUUUCUUAUUAUUAUUGAAUUUCUGCUUCUCAUCUUACGAUGCCUCUAGUCUGAAUCAAGAUGGCCCCUCUCUAUCUUGUGAUGCCUUCGGCCCAAUUCUCAACAGCCAGCUUCAAAACGGUUGCGUGCGCUGGUGCUAAUAAGCUUUGAAGCUCCUUCCUACUUAUUGAAUUCUAAUAUAAGCGUUGGCCUAUUGGGAGCUUUUUAGUCAUGGUGGGAGCUUCCGGAAAAAACUUUGCGGGUCAAGACCAUAGGAAAAGGGAAGAACGCGGGAGAAAAGACCUUAUUUAGAUGGAUUGGUAGCGCAGGUGGCCUUCUAGAAUGGAGUUCGGGCAGUGCUAUCACUUACUGGAAAAGAGAACCAUUCAAAAAUCAGGGGAGACUGAGAGAGCAAAUCGAGGACGAUGAGUGAUUUGAAGGAGAAAAGGCUUAUGAUGUGAUUAAGGACCUUCCAUUUAGACAAGGUUGUCUUAGCGCAUAUGUUAAGCUAGGCCUACUACUCUUUCUGGGCUGAUAAUGAAGGGAAAAUGAAAUGGAGAUGGAGAUUGUUUGCUAUUUCUUUCAAAACCUUUCUAUGAGGGAAGUUAAAGUUUGAUUUUCCCUCUCUCUUUCAAGCAUUGCUGCUCCCCUUCUAGAGAUCGGAGUAGUCCGGGGGAAUCCCCUGUCACUUUGGUACCCCCUGGUUGUAACUUGUACUUGUUCCAUUUUAAUGCAAUUGACUUUGAAGCAGUUUUUCUUACUUUUGUUGUUGUGUUUGAGUCCUCUUUAGUGAGGCAGAGUGGAAUCCUUUUUUGGGACCUCCCUACAAGCUUGAUUAGAAGUUAGAUUGAGGUUGUGG
rnacentral:lncRNA from 1 species